UACGGAGGGUGCAAGCGUUAUCCGGAUUCACUGGGUUUAAAGGGUGCGUAGGCGGAUAGGUAAGUCCGUGGUGAAAUCCUGCAGCUUAACUGCAGAACUGCCGUGGAUACUAUCUAUCUUGAAUGUCGUGGAGGUUAGCGGAAUAUGUCAUGUAGCGGUGAAAUGCUUAGAUAUGACAUAGAACACCCAUUGCGAAGGCAGCUAACUACGCGAAUAUUGACUCUGAGGCACGAAAGCGUGGGGAUCAAACAGG
rnacentral:rRNA from 1 species